UACGUAGGGGGCAAGCGUUGUCCGGAUUUAUUGGGCGUAAAGAGCGUGUAGGCGGCUUUACAAGUCCGUUGUGAAAACUCGAGGCUCAACCUCGAGACGCCGGUGGAAACCGUAAAGCUAGAGUCCGGAAGAGGAGAGUGGAAUUCCUGGUGUAGCGGUGAAAUGCGCAGAUAUCAGGAAGAACACCAAUGGCGAAAGCAGCUUUCUGGGACGGUACUGACGCUGAGACGCGAAAGCGUGGGGAGCGAACAGG
rnacentral:rRNA from 1 species